CCUUAACAACUCGAUCUACCCAGGCAAACACAACAAUCAUUCAGCUUUUUGUUUCAUUUUUUCCUUAACCUAUCACCAUGAAACAAAAUACACACAUAUAGAAAUGAGCAAAGAGCUUUAAAUACUAGCUGCCCAAGAGAUGCUUAGCCUCCUGUUCCAGCCACUGGAGUUGAGGGGUGGAGGCACGUGAUGUCACGGAAAGGGAAUGCUCGCUAGUCUUCAAGCAGUCCCCUAAGGGAUCUUUGAUCUCAGGCUGAAUGGAGGAAGAAGAGCUUUUCUAGUUGACGCCUGUCACAGAGAUCUGAUGAAGUCAAUGUAAAUGAGUCCGCAGAAGCUUGAUAGCCUAUAGAAGUCCUUGAAAAUCCCGAAUGGCACGAGAAGGUUGAAAACUAGUCAAGAUGCUGAUAUCUUCAAGAAGUUAAAUAUAACCUAAAAAAAUUAUUUGUCACAGAAUAAGGUUGGUUUAAAAAAUUGUAAAGGGGAGGAGAGUGGAGAUUCAAGCCUAGAGAGGAAGGCUGAAUAAGAAGAAAGUAAUUGUGAAGUCAACUGUAAAAUAUUUCCUGGGUCUCACCUGGUAAAUCCACACGGGCUUCCUGAAAGAGGAAGGCUAGAGUUACUUUUGAGUUGCCUUUCAAAUGAUAAGCAGGGUCCUUGAGUAAACAGGAAAUGAAAGACUCGAGAGAGUAGCUGAGGAAGGAUGCAGAAGUGAAAAGGAGAGGGGAGCCAUCAGCACCCCAGAUUUAAUUUGAUGGAGAAUUUUCUCUAUUUGUUUAUGUGUGUGCCCGUCUUUAUUAGACUGUCUGUUUGCCUUUCAAGGGCUGGGACUGUGCCUCAUUCACCUUCAUAUUCUAGUAUAAUGCAAGCUUAGGAAAUUAUUGUCUAAAUACAUACACUCAGACAUAAAUGGAUGAGAGUAAGAAUAAAGGCAUAAGUGGUGGUAUUUAGCAGCAGCCUUGGCUGUGAGCUUAAGACUGUUUUUUGUGACCUGCCAUCUUCCUUUGCGCAACAACACAGCUCAUGAUGAUGUUCCAGAGCAUUUUGCCACCAGAAAAUGAGGCUUGCUUUUGGUCUUUUGAAGGAAGACUGCAGUGAACAGUUAAAUUGACUUUAAAUUUAGCAGCAUUGGGCAAGAAUAGAAAUGUUCUAAUCCUGUCUCCUCCUACGGAAUGUGAAUUGUGGUCAAAGUAAUAUGUUUUUGCCUUCUGUGAUUUCGAUCAAAUUUCAUAGGCCAGACAGGGCGUAGGGAGCCAGGCUGCACAGCCACUCUCCCUGGUAAACAGUGUCACACCUCCCUUGGACAGCCCAGGGUACCAUGUGUGCCCUGGCGUUACAGACACCUCACCAGGGCUUGUCUGUUCUCCCUGCCUUGUUUCUCAGCCCAGUGUUCAUGUGGAGUUUGGCUUCCUCUUCUUAGAACUGGGAAAGGCAACGCUGUGCAGGUGUGAGAGGUACAUACACAUGCGCCCAGAAGAUGCUGCCCCAGAAAAACAUACCCAGGGCCUGUAUUUGACUCAGAGUUUAAGGUCUUACUUUUCAUUAGAAAAUAAGAUCACUAGCUCUAAAAUUUCCACUGGGGAAGACUGGGUUGGCUUAGCAGGGCAGUGCUAUCUGAUGGGCAGCUGUAUUCUAUAAAGUAGAUGAGGGAAGAUGACAGAAUGGCAUGUCUGUGGGCAGAAAGCAGAAGGGAAAUUGGCUUCCCUUCAUAGGCCACUAAGGAAAGGGUUAUCCAGUGGCCUGCUGGAUUUGACACUAUCUGCCUGCCACAUCUGAGCUCAGCAUUUUUGCUUUGACACGCAUGGGUCAUUCUACCCAUUGAGCUUCAGCAAUUCCCUAUUACAGAUGCUUAUUGGCAACAGAAUCUUAAGUCCAAUAAAGGAGCAAAGAGAUUUUACUUUGGAAGGAAAUACUAUGGAUUCUUCAGUCAUUCAGAGGCCUCACCUCCUCCCUUAAUGAGUGCUCCCAAUGUAAAGGUAUAAUGACUGGCUAACUAAAUGCUUUGGGGGUAUAGGAAUGAGGACACACAUCUAGAAAAGUGGAUUUUAGAAGAAGAAAAGACAGUAUAAUGAAAACAAGUUUAAGAAAGAGCAAAAAUAAAAUUUGACUUAUGUAUAUCAA